rnacentral:siRNA from 1 species
UGCAGUUAAAAAGCUCGUAGUUG